rnacentral:rRNA from 1 species
UGAGCAAUCUGCCCUUCUCUUUGGAAUAAGCGUUGGAAACGACGUCUAAUGCCGAAUACGACCUCCUUUCGCAUGAUCGGAGGUGGAAAGCACCGGCGGAGAAGGAUGAGCUCGCGGCCUAUCAGCUAGUUGGUGUGGGUAAUGGCCCACCAAGGCGACGACGGGUAGCCGGCCUGGAGAGGGUGACCGGCCACACUGGGACUGAGACACGGUCCAGACUCCGUACGGGAGGNAGCG